rnacentral:rRNA from 1 species
UACGUAGGAUGCAAGCGUUGUCCGGAAUUAUUGGGCGUAAAGGGUGCGCAGGCGGUUUUUCAAGUCAGAUGUGAAAUAUCCCGGCUUAACUGGGAGGGGCCAUUUGAAACUGAAAGACUAGAGUGCAGGAGAGGAUAGCGGAAUUCCCGGUGUAGUGGUGAAAUGCGUAGAUAUCGGGAGGAACACCAGUGGCGAAGGCGACUACCUGGCCUGUUCUUGACGCUGAGGC